GCCGGUCGGGGUCACCGGCGCUCAGACCUUGGCCCGAGCAGAAAGGAGUGGAGCAGGCGGCGGCUAUGUUGUGGGUCCCGUGGUGGCGUGUCGGGGCGCGGCUGCGCGGCUUGCGCGGCGGGCUCCAGGCCCCCGCCGAAAGCGGUCGGCGGGGCGUGGUCUCCUGCAUCGAUCCUUCUACGGGACUAAACGAAGAGCAGAAAGAGUUCCAGAAAGUGGCGUUCAACUUUGCUGCCCGGGAGAUGGCGCCAAACAUGGCAGAGUGGGACCAGAAGGAGCUGUUCCCAGUGGAUGUGAUGCGGAAGGCAGCCCAGCUGGGCUUUGGGGGGAUUUACGUACGAACAGAUGUAGGAGGGUCUGGACUGUCACGGCUCGACACCUCUGUCAUCUUUGAAGCCUUGGCCACAGGCUGCACCAGCACCACAGCCUACAUAAGCAUCCACAACAUGUGUGCCUGGAUGAUUGAUACCUUUGGAAGUGAGGAACAGAGGCACAGGUUUUGCCCUCCACUCUGUACCAUGGAGAAGUUUGCUUCCUACUGCCUCACUGAACCAGGCUCUCUCCCACCUCUACGCUUCCCUCCUGUCCCUGCCGUAGGCAGUGGGAGUGAUGCCGCCUCCCUCUUGACCUCCGCCAAGCGACGAGGAGAUCAUUACGUGCUCAGUGGCUCCAAGGCCUUCAUCAGUGGUGGAGGCGAAGCAGACAUCUAUGUGGUCAUGUGCCGAACAGGAGGACCAGGCCCCAAAGGCAUCUCAUGCAUAGUUGUUGAGAAGGGGACCCCUGGCCUCAGCUUCGGCAAGAAGGAGAGAAAGGUGGGGUGGAACUCACAGCCGACCCGAGCGGUGAUCUUUGAAGACUGUGCUGUCCCUGUGGCCAACAGGAUCGGGGACGAGGGCCAGGGCUUCCUCAUUGCCAUGAGAGGACUGAACGGGGGGAGGAUCAAUGUCGCGUCCUGCUCUCUGGGCGCUGCUUAUGCUUCGGUCAUCCUCACCCGAGACCACCUCAAGGUCCGGAAGCAGUUUGGAGAGCCCCUGGCCAGUAACCAGUACCUGCAGUUCAAACUGGCAGAUAUGGUGGCCAGGCUGGUGGCCUCACGGCUGAUGAUCCGCAACGCAGCCGUGGCUCUGCAGGAGGAACGUGAGGAUGCGGUGGCCCUGUGCUCCAUGGCCAAGCUCUUCGCUACAGACGAAUGCUUUGCGAUCUGCAACCAGGCCCUGCAGAUGCACGGGGGCUACGGCUACCUGAAGGACUGCGCGGUCCAGCAGUACAUGCGGGACUCCAGGGUCCAUCAGAUCCUCGAAGAGACAGCACAAACGAAGAUAACAUCCGAGAAAGCAUUUUGAAAACUGCAGCAGCGGCUGUUCUUCACUGUUGUAAAAUACUUGGUCCUCAGAGAUCCCAGGACUUCUCCACAGUAACUUCCAGGGUAGAUGUGAGCUAGUUUGAUCUCCAGCCUCUACACACUGAUCAUGACCAUCAUUGUUGCUAAUGGAGCUUUCAGUAAAUUAAUUGUCACACACGGGCAUCUUCUUGCCGAUCACAGGCCCACGGGCAGGAGAUGGGCAGCAACGAAGUGAUGCGGAUACUGAUCUCAAGAAGCCUGCUGCAGGAGUAGCCCCUGGACUGAGGCUCCGAUGGGAGGAUCAGUGUCGAGUGGUUCCAUGUGGACGGCGCUGUCACAGUGAGUCCAGGACGCGCUGGAGGGGCUGUGCUUGUCCAGGGCACCAUCACAGCGUCAGCUGGAGGGUGGCACCUGGAGGGCGGCACCUGGAGGACGGCCGGAGCUGCCCUGGCUGGAACGUUAUAAGAAGACGUGCCGCCUUGUUUUCCUGACACGGAGGGUGACCAGAACACUGACCACGAAACCACUGUCCUUUCCUGGAUCCACAGUCUUGAUUUGUCUGCAUUUUGCUGGUUCACCAGAUCCCUCUUCUGGGAAUCUGGGUACUUCUGUUGAGGGUUUUUCCUGACUGUAAAGCAAAGGUGUGGGAAAGGAGAAAUGGAGAGAAAGCGUCUUCCUGUCUUUUUCUGUUCUUUGUGCCUCGGCUGAAGAUGCAGAAGGUUUCCGUGGGCUGCUCUUCCUUUGCAGCAACUCCUCCUCUGAAUGUAAAUCAUGAUGAAAUGAGUGUUUGGAAAUCCUUCUCCUAAGCUGAGAUUUAGGGCGUAUCUGCACUUCUGGACUAUCUGAAUGUCAAGGGCUGAGAUUGUUUGGAACUGUGAAGACUUGUUGUUUUAGAAGCAUGUGGUCUGGGAAUGGUAUUUGAAGUUCCUGUGACAUUUCCUUAUAAGUGCUUUGAGUAUACUUUUUUUCUGAGUUUUUGCUUUCUUGCUCCUCUUUUUAAAUGUUUUUAAUCACUACAUUAAUAAAUCUACCCCUCUCUGUACCAUU